ensembl:lncRNA
CGUAGAUGGCACCCUGCAAUCCUCCUUGUUUGUCCUCAGCUCCUCACCGUGGCCUGUGCUCUCUGUUUCAGCCUGAGAACCAGGGGAAGCCCUUGCUGGUGCAUGAGGAGCCAUCUCUUAAUAUUCCGGCUAUUGCUGCUGGCCAUGUUAUUAAGAGAUACGUUGCCCAGGCAGCGGAUGAGCUCUCCUUGGAGGUAAGCAGUUAAAGGCGUUCCUUGUUGUCAUGGCCAGAAGAGUCUACCGUGUGAAUGCAUCAGGAAUAUUCUCCGACACCUUCAGAAUGCCCUGUGAGGCGAAGCCCAGAAGAUGCAGGUCCAGAUAGGACUUGCACUGGGUUGGAUGCAGGGAGGAGUUCAGCCAUGUGUAAAAGACGGUUUGAUUUGGCAUGCUUGCACUGUAUUCUGUCUGGUGUGCAAGGCAGUGACUCUUGUACGUGCCAGUUCAGCUUUCUGACGGGAAAUGCCUGAAGAGCUGCCCCGGUGCAAUUGCUCUCAAGCUGUGCGCUAUUUGGCAGUGCAGAAGAAGGGCAUCAUUUCAGCUGUGCUUUCCUCGCAGCUGUGCUGAAGCUGGGAUUGAUGUUGCAAUGUCUUGCAGGUGGGAGACCUGGUGUGCAUUAUUGCUAUGCCAGCAAAGGAGCUGAGCCCCUGGUGGAGAGGCAAGCGUGGCUUCCAGGUAGGCACAAGCUUCAGACUUGCGGGCGCAACGGCAGUCAAGUCAGGAAGGUCAGCUUCGAGCUGCUCGGCCUGCACAUGGUUGGCUUCUGGACGUAAACAGUUUCCCUGUGUCGGUGUCAGCGGCCUUUCCCUUUGGCUCUGGGCUUGGGUAGGAAACCGUCUCCUCAUGUGACUUAGAAGCAAGAGCCUCUCCUGCUCACUGCACAGUCAGGAGUUGACCAUGUCUGUCCUUUGUACAAGCACGGAGGACAGAGCCAUCUUCUGCGGAACCAAGUCUUGGUUUUGUAGGUCUUUUGGCUGCAAAUGUGGAAUGAGGGUUCCUUUUCUGCAGGCCAUUCUUUCUUGGUUUAACGGUGGAGGCCUGAGAAGUGCUGCAUUCAGUCUUCCAUCUCUCUUCUUGUUCUUGUUCCAGGUGGGAUUUUUCCCUGGUGAGUGCGUGGAGCUCAUCAACGGAAAAAUUCCUGAGGCCCUCAUCGAUUCAGCACCAAAGCCAGGUACGGAUGUU